CGCCCAUAGCUUAGUUAAUAGAGCAGUGGGACGCUUCCCCACAGUCCCGGGUUCAAGUCCCGGCGCGGUGG